rnacentral:rRNA from 1 species
UACGUAGGGGGCAAGCGUUGUCCGGAUUUAUUGGGCGUAAAGAGCGUGUAGGCGGCCAGGUAGGUCUGCUGUGAAAACUCGAGGCUUAACCUCGAGCUGUCGGCGGAAACCAUCUGGCUAGAGUCCGGUAGAGGAGAAUGGAAUUCCCGGUGUAGCGGUGAAAUGCGCAGAUAUCGGGAAGAACACCCGUGGCGAAGGCGGUUCUCUGGGACGGUACUGACGCUGAGACGCGAAAGCGUGGGGAGCGAACAGG